rnacentral:tRNA from 1 species
GCCUCGGUAGCGCAGUAGGCAGCGCGUCAGUCUCAUAAUCUGAAGGUCGUGAGUGCGAUCCUCACUCGGGGCA